CUGGUCCCUGUCAUCUGAUUUCUGUCAGCUGAGAGUGUGAAAAAACAAUCUACGGUUUGUUUCACCUCCACACCCGUGUCAGGCCAUCCUACAAACAUCCUCCUCAAAGCAAGACCUUUCUUUCCCUUUCCUAGAACUCUGCUGUGCGAGCAGGCCGCUCAGUUCCACCCAUCCUCUCUGAGACCGCAAACAGAGCUGAACAGAGAACCGAGACUUAUAAACAGGGGUGUAGGCCAAUGAGGAGACUGAGGCCCAGAGAAGCUAAGAAACGUGCCCAAAGUUGCAUAACAGCGAACAGCAGAACUGGGAUAUGGACGAAGGCUGUCUGCCUCCAGAGAGGACUAUGUGUUGCCUGGAGAGCUGGGAGAAAAGAAACCUCAUGCUUGUUUUCUGCAGUUGGUGUUGAGCCUGCAGCUGCUUAUUCUUUAAGAAAAAGGACACCUUAACUUGUUGGGAUGAGCACUGGGUGUGGUACAUAAGCGGCGAAUCACGGGAAUCUACCCCCCAAAACCAAGAGCACCCUGUGCACUGUAUGUUAGCCGAUUUGACAAUAAAUUAAAUUAAAAAAAAAAAAA